AGUAACACGUGGAUACCCUACCUAUAAGACUGGGAUAAUUUCGGGAAACCGGAGCUAAUACCGGAUAAUAUUUUGAACCGCAUGGUUCAAAAGUGAAAGACGGUCUUGCUGUCACUUAUAGAUGGAUCCGCGCUGCAUUAGCUAGUUGGUAAGGUAACGGCUUACCAAGGCAACGAUGCAUAGCCGACCUGAGAGGGUGAUCGGCCACACUGGAACUGAGACACGGUCCAGACUCCUACGGGAGGCAGCAGUAGGGAAUCUUCCGCAAUGGGCGAAAGCCUGACGGAGCAACGCCGCGUGAGUGAUGAAGGUCUUCGGAUCGUAAAACUCUGUUAUUAGGGAAGAACAUAUGUGUAAGUAACUGUGCACAUCUUGACGGUACCUAAUCAGAAAGCCACGGCUAACUACGUGCCAGCAGCCGCGGUAAUACGUAGGUGGCAAGCGUUAUCCGGAAUUAUUGGGCGUAAAGCGCGCGUAGGCGGUUUUUUAAGUCUGAUGUGAAAGCCCACGGCUCAACCGUGGAGGGUCAUUGGAAACUGGAAAACUUGAGUGCAGAAGAGGAAAGUGGAAUUCCAUGUGUAGCGGUGAAAUGCGCAGAGAUAUGGAGGAACACCGGUGGCGAAAGCGGCUCUCUGGUCUGUAACUGACGCUGAGGCUCGAAAGCGUGGGGAGCAAACAGGAUUAGAUACCCUGGUAGUCCACGCCGUAAACGAUGAGUGCUAGGUGUUGGGUCCUUUCCGGGACUCAGUGCCGCAGCUAACGCAUUAAGCACUCCGCCUGGGGAGUACGACCGCAAGGUGAAACUCAAAGGAAUUGACGGU
rnacentral:rRNA from 1 species